CCUACGGGAGGCAGCAGUGAGGAAUAUUGGUCAAUGGGAGUAAGCCUGAACCAGCCAAGUCGCGUGAGGGAUGAAGGUUCUAUGGGUCGUAAACCUCUUUUAUCAGGGAAUAAAGUGUGGGACGUGUCCUAUUUUGUAUGUACCUUAUGAAUAAGGAUCGGCUAACUCCGUGCCAGCAGCCGCGGUAAUACGGAGGAUCCGAGCGUUAUCCGGAUUUAUUGGGUUUAAGGGGUGCGUAGGCGGCCUUUUAAGUCAGCGGUGAAAGUUGGGGGCCUAACCAUGGAAGGGCCGUUGAAACUGGCGGGCUUGAGUAGGUGUGAGGUAGGCGGAAUGCGCGGUGUAGCGGUGAAAUGCAUAGAUAGCGCGCAGAACCCCGAUUGCGAAGGCAGCCUGCC
rnacentral:rRNA from 1 species